rnacentral:tRNA from 1 species
AGAAACUUAGGUUAAUUUAAACCAAGAGCCUUCAAAGCUCUAAAUGAAGGUUAAAGUCCUCCAGUCUCUG